rnacentral:lncRNA from 1 species
UUAUGAGACAAAUUGAAACCACAUAGAGACACAGCAGAAAAAUAAUAUGCACACACAUUCACACUUGUAUUUUACGCUCCUCCCUGCAGGCAUCCAUGUUCAUCACAAGCAACCAAGGCGCCGACACCCGCCAGUGCAUCGGUGCGGGAGGAACAUUCAAUCCCUUCAACAUGACAUCAAUGAGCUCCAGCUGUUCGCUAUUUAACCCUCUGAGCUGUGUGGUGGGAGAGUUGUCAGAAAGACAUGGCACAGUCAGCCUGAGAGAGAGACAGAUCAUCAGUGACUGCAACAUUGUGCUCACUGGAGACAACACAGUGGUCCACAGAUCUGUAAUGCUGAUGAACGGAGACAGCAUCAUCGCAUGUGCAGCAAUCCUCCCAGAAUCCCCUUCAGCAAAUCAGACCUUUCCCAAAGUGACUAACUUCAGCAGAUAUGACUUCCGUAAGAGGGUUGCAGAUGUCCUGCAGGUGCAAAAGGCGAGAGUCACCAUCCUUGCCGGCUCUCCCAGCUCUGUCGCUAAUGGAACGUGCUACCAAGUCAACUUCAUGGUUUCUGGGGAUGUCAGCACAGAACUUCUGGAGUCUGUCAAAACCAGCGAGAAGAUGGGCAUGUUCAUAGAGUCGGACUCAUGUACAAGAAGUGCAGGUCUGCUGCUGAUGCCAGGAACUUUUCUGCUGGGCUUGAUGUUUGCUGCCACCUGCCUGAUGUCAUCCACAGUUUAUUGAUAGCUUAGAGAUUCGGCCACAACAUGCAUCUUCAGCGAAGCCACACGGAUACGCAUAUUGUAAAACUGUGAAUAUGUUUAUGAAAUGUAGCCCUCCCAAUAAUACGAUGGUCAUCUGAAUAAAUGUCAAGCAAAUAAUAAGUAUUUCUUACUUUUAAUCAUUUUAGGCAACAAGCUAUUUAUUAACUGUACCUUUAUAGAAACUUUUACACAACAGAUAUUAUAUUUCAUUUUAUUGGUGGAUGGAGUUAAUACUGUACAUUUUCAGAUAUCCAAACUGUUUCUUCUUCAUUUAUGCACCAUCCAUAUAUUCAUGCAUGUGUGUAAAUAUCUGGAAAACUGUAAAUAAAAUGCAAUAAUGUUUGUAUGCCUUGUGCAAAUAAUCUGUGAUUUUCUUCUUUGCUUA